ACACUAAUAAUGUGACUCCAUUUCUCUGUACGGGAGAAACCCCAACCAUUUUCUUUACCCAUUUCAACACUCAAAAAGGUUAUCACUGCUCCUCUCCAAGCCCCGCCAUCCCUCAGUCGAAGUGCAGCACUUCCACCGUCAUCAUCAACAUUUUUGACCACACUUCGAUCCCACCCAUUUUCCCCAUAUUACGCAGUUUCCUCCUAAAUCCGUUUCGACGUUUAGACGGGAGAAAACCCUCUCCUUACUACCUAGCCGUUGUCGUAGUUGGAGGUACUUUGGGAUGACUUCCACUGAAUGGGCGGUAGGAAUUACGAAAUCUAUCACAGUUGUAGAGCUAAGGGACAUUUCUUUGCUGAUUGCCCACAAAAACACCGAUGCCCAAAUUGUGAGCACGGAUUUGAGAAUUGUUUCGUGGUGGAGAAGGGAAGUGGUCGACCUGAUUAGUAGCUAUUAAUCGAUAUAGUGGCUAGUACAUAAUCUUUUGUAUGAGGUCGAAAUAUUUUCAGCGAAGAUAUGUAAAUUAUGUUUGUAAACAGCGAUCGCAUCUAUGAGAUUAGUCUCAAAGUGCUAUCCUUUUUGUAUAAUCUUGGGAAAAUCUACCUUUUUGUUUAUCUAUUUGUGCUUUCUA